GGAGAGUUUGAUCCUGGCUCAGAACGAACGCUGGCGGCGUGCCUAACACAUGCAAGUCGAACGCGAAAGUCCUUCGGGGCGAGUAGAGUGGCGCACGGGUGAGUAACGCGUGGAUAAUCUGCCCUAGGGUGGGGGAUAACGUUUAGAAAUGAACGCUAAUACCGCAUAAGACCACGAGCCUUCGGGCCAGUGGGAAAAGAUGGGGAGCACUUCGGUGCCCUGUCGCCUUUGGAUGAGUCCGCGUACCAUUAGGUAGUUGGUGGGGCAAAGGCCCACCAAGCCAUAGAUGGUUAGCUGGUCUGAGAGGAUGAUCAGCCACACUGGGACUGAGACACGGCCCAGACUCCUACGGGAGGCAGCAGUGGGGAAUAUUGCGCAAUGGGCGAAAGC
rnacentral:rRNA from 1 species